UCAUUCCAAAAUCCAAAUCCUGCCCUUUACACUAAAUCCAGUUAAAGUUUGUCCAUAAAGUUUUGAGGUUAAACGAGAACAUGAACCUAACCUGGAGGUUAUUUUGGGGCUGUGACCUCCAGCAGAGGACCAGAACUGGUCCUGGUCCUGGUCCUGGUCCUGGUCCUGGUCCUGGAUGUGAUGCUUCAAGCUCAUGAUGAGUUUUUGGAGGUAAAAAUUUUCACCUAAAGAUUUGGAACCAGAACCCAGACCGGAUUCCAGAAACAGGAAGUUCCUUCUUCCUGAUGUCCUGCUGGAAAACAUUCCAGUGAUUAGACGGAGCCGAUCUCAGCUCAUGAUUUCAGUGUUUUUUAUUUUCUCUUUGUCUCUAUAAAUGCCUUUAAAAAAUGUUUUGAUGGUGGAAAAAGAGAAUUUUCUGAAUCUUGCUGUUGUUCUGCUGUUGAUAUCUGGGAGCAGCUGAAACCCGUAAUGACCCGUUCUUGGAUAUUUCUCCGUGUUUAUGAUUCCGGGUUGUGUUUGAUGUUUGCUUGAUGCAAGAA